rnacentral:rRNA from 1 species
CCUACGGGCGGCAGCAGUGGGGAAUAUUGGACAAUGGGCGAAAGCCUGAUCCAGCCAUGCCGCGUGUGUGAAGAAGGCCUUCGGGUUGUAAAGCACUUUCAGUGGGGAAGAAAGCCUUGGGGCUAAUACCCUCGAGGAAGGACAUCACCCACAGAAGAAGCACCGGCUAACUCCGUGCCAGCAGCCGCGGUAAUACGGAGGGUGCGAGCGUUAAUCGGAAUUACUGGGCGUAAAGCGCGCGUAGGCGGUCUGAUAAGCCGGUUGUGAAAGCCCCGGGCUUAACCUGGGAACGGCAUCCGGAACUGUCAGGCUAGAGUGCAGGAGAGGAAGGUAGAAUUCCCGGUGUAGCGGUGAAAUGCGUAGAGAUCGGGAGGAAUACCAGUGGCGAAGGCGGCCUUCUGGACUGACACUGACGCUGAGGUGCGAAAGCGUGGGUAGCAAACAGGAUUAGAUACCCCAGUAGUC